UACGGGGGGAGCAAGCGUUGUUCGGAUUUACUGGGCGUAAAGCGCGUGUAGGCGGUCCGGUAAGUCCGCUGUGAAAGUCGGGGGCUCAACCCUCGAAUGCCGGUGGAUACUGUCGGGCUAGAGUGCGGAAGAGGCGAGUGGAAUUCCUGGUGUAGCGGUGAAAUGCGCAGAUAUCAGGAGGAACACCUAUUGCGAAGGCAGCUCGCUGGGACGUAACUGACGCUGAGACGCGAAAGCGUGGGGAGCAAACAGG
rnacentral:rRNA from 1 species